rnacentral:rRNA from 1 species
AGAGGAUAGUGGAAUUCUAAGUGUAGAAGUGAAUUUCGUAGAUAUUAGAGGGAACACGGAUAGCGAAGGCAACUAUCUGGCCCUUUACUGACACUCAGAAGCGAAAGCUGGGGUAGCAAACAGGAUUAGAUACCCUGGUAGUCCAUGCUGUAAACGAUGAGUGCUAGAUGUUAGAAGUUUACUUCUAGUAUCGAAGCUAACGCGUUAAGCACUCCGCCUGGGGAGUACGGCCGCAAGGCUAAAACUCAAAUGAAUUGACGGGGACCCGCACAAGCAGUGGAGCAUGUGGUUUAAUUCGACGCUACGCGAAGAACCUUACCAGCUCUUGACAUGCUAGGUUAUAGAUUUAAGAGAUUAAAUUUUUCAGUUCGGCUGGGCUUAGUACAGGUGCUGCAUGGCUGUCGUCAGCUCGUGUCGUGAGAUGUUCGGUUAAGUCCGGCAACGAGCGCAACCCUCAUCUUCAGUUACUAACAGGUUAUGCUGAGGACUCUGGAGAAACUGCCGUUGGAAAAGCGGAGGAAGGCGAGGAUGACGUCAAGUCCUCAUGGCCCUUAUGGGCUGGGCUACACACGUGCUACAAUGGUAAUUACAAUAGGUCGCGAUAAGGCAACUUUGAGCUAAUCUUUAAAAAUUAUCUUAGUUCAGAUUGCUCUCUGCAACUCGAGAGCAUGAAGUUGGAAUUGCUAGUAAUCGUGGAUCAGCAUGCCACGGUGAAUACGUUCCCGGGUCUUGUACACACCGCCCGUCACACCAUGGGAGUUGGUUUUACCUGAAGCCGAUCUUUGAUCGUCCACGGUAAGGUCAGCGACUGGGGUGAAGUCGUAACAAGGUAGCCGUAGGGGAACCUGCGGCUG